UUGCACCGAGCGGAUGAGUUGCGAACGGGUGAGUAACGCGUAGGUAACCUGCCUCUUAGCGGGGGAUAACUAUUGGAAACGAUAGCUAAUACCGCAUAAAAGACGAUAUCGCAUGAUAUUGAUUUGAAAGGUGCAAUUGCAUCACUAAGAGAUGGACCUGCGUUGUAUUAGCUAGUUGGUGAGGUAACGGCUCACCAAGGCGACGAUACAUAGCCGACCUGAGAGGGUGAUCGGCCACACUGGGACUGAGACACGGCCCAGACUCCUACGGGAGGCAGCAGUAGGGAAUCUUCGGCAAUGGGGGCAACCCUGACCGAGCAACGCCGCGUGAGUGAAGAAGGUUUUCGGAUCGUAAAGCUCUGUUGUAAGAGAAGAACGAGUGUGAGAGUGGAAAGUUCACACUGUGACGGUAACUUACCAGAAAGGGACGGCUAACUACGUGCCAGCAGCCGCGGUAAUACGUAGGUCCCGAGCGUUAUCCGGAUUUAUUGGGCGUAAAGCGAGCGCAGGCGGUUAGAUAAGUCUGAAGUUAAAGGAUGUGGCUUAACCAUAGUACGCUUUGGAAACUGUUUAACUUGAGUGCAGAAGGGGAGAGUGGAAUUCCAUGUGUAGCGGUGAAAUGCGUAGAUAUAUGGAGGAACACCGGUGGCGAAAGCGGCUCU
rnacentral:rRNA from 1 species